rnacentral:rRNA from 1 species
UACGGGGGGAGCAAGCGUUGUUCGGAAUCACUGGGCGUAAAGGGAGUGUAGGCGGUUCGGUAAGUGGGAUGUGAAAUGCCCGGGCUCACCCCGGGACCUGCAUCCCAUACUGCUGAGCUUGAGUACAGGAGAGGGUGGGGGAAUUCCUGGUGUAGCGGUGAAAUGCGUAGAUAUCAGGAGGAACACCGGUGGCGAAGGCGCCCACCUGGCCUGCUACUGACGCUGAUGCUCGAAAGCCAGGGGAGCAAACGGG